GACUCACUGGUCCAGUGGUAAAGCGUUUGCCGCGGAGGCAGAGGGUCCUGGGUUCGAUCCCCGAUAGGUUCG
rnacentral:tRNA from 1 species